rfam:Dipodomys ordii contig_1294, whole genome shotgun sequence.
GGGAAUGUGGCUCAGUGGUAGAGUGCUUGCCUAGUAUGCAUGAAGCCCCGGGUUCGAUUCCUCAGUACCA